rnacentral:lncRNA from 1 species
GUGGGAACCCCAGUGCUCCAUUCUCUUCUAUCUGUGCUUUCUCUUUAUUAGUAGGCAAUGUGUUGAAGCAUCAUUUUGAAGGCGUUUAAAAGGAAAGGAAGAGAACAAUGAGACAGAGAGGAAGACAGGAAGAAAAUGGGAGAAUUAGAAGCACGCUCUAAAUACCAGAUACUACUAGAGACUCUUGUGCUGCGUGACCCCUGACCGUAACCAAGUGUCCUUCUCUCUGAGACGUUCCCUCGGAGCUUGUUCUGACAGCCCUCACCUCCAGUGACGUCCACGAACUUUUCCACACGAGGGGUUCUCUGCUUCCCUCCAUCUGAGCUGCGCAAUUCCACCAGGCCUUUUGCUCCUCUUCAGUCAGGUGCUUUGGAGGUUGCGUACUCCAGAGGUCAGAACCAAGAAGAAGCCACCUAGCCUCAGAGGCUCAGAGGACAUGAAG